CGUGUAGGCGGUUGGUCAAGUCGGGUGUGAAAGCCUGGGGCUCAGCCUCAGAAGUGCAUCCGAAACUAGCCAGCUAGAGCGCGAUAGAGGAGGGUGGAAUUCCUGGUGUAGCGGUGAAAUGCGUAGAUAUCAGGAGGAACACCGGCGGCGAAGGCGGCCCUCUGGAUCGUUGCUGACGCUGAGACGCGAAAGCGUGGGGAGCAAACAGGAUUAGAUACCCUGGUAGUCCACGCCUUAAACGAUGGGUACUAGGUGUUCGGGGUGUUGACCCCCUGAGUGCCGCAGUUAACGCAUUAAGUACCCCGCCUGGGGACUACGGCCGCAAGGUUAAA
rnacentral:rRNA from 1 species